UGGACGAACGUGGAGAAGGUGUCAGGCAUCAGAGAGAAAAGAAAUAAACCUCUCUCUGUGUGUGCAUUAUUUAUAUAAAUAUAUAGAAUAAUGAGCCGUGCUGCAACCGUUUCCUUGCUUCCCGAGUCGGUGACAAGCGGCAGGAUUCACUCAGUUGAGGAGAGCAGCUGUCCACUAGGAGCUCCGGCUGAUACAGCGGGUCAUGCAGGGUCUUGGAGGCGGCAGCAAGUCAUUCACACCAGCUGCACAGAGAGAAAGAAACAAAUGCUGUAAUGCCACUGCCUAGAUAUGCUGCAUAAUACUGCUGUCUGCACCCAGAACGAUGUGGAAAAAAGCACACCAGCAUAUGCGUGUCUGCACCUGCAUCUUACAGCAACCAGAAAGUCAAGUGAUGAAACCACUCGGAGCUGGCAUGAAAAGAAGAUAAUGCAGAGGCAGGAAAGAAGACAACCUGUUUGCAAAAGGAGGGAGAAGGGAGAAGAGUUCUGAGCAAGAUUCAUUGUUACUUGAAUUUUUCAAGAAGUGCCUCUCAUAACUUUACCUAAGCCUGGAACUGAAGUUUGUUCAGUGUCUGUGAUUCAACCAGAAGGUAUGCACAACAUUCUGUCGUCUCUUGGAGCUAAACUUUCUGUCUCCAAACACAUUGCUGAUCAUACAAACAGUCACUAUGGCUCUCAAUUUCUUCACUGCCGUAUCUUUCCAGACCGAUAAAGGAGACAAUAUCUAGCAUUUCCCAGUUCCCUCUCCAUGCUGCAUCAGAGAGUCUCUUUAACAGGAAAACAAAACCCCAUUUUGUAAAUGGACAAGAAAUGGGAACCAAGCCAAUGUGAGAAUAAAGGAGGGAUGAUGAAAACCCUGAGCAACAAGAUUGAUUUCAAGAAGGCUCUCGAAGGAGACAAAGCUCCUUUUAAAGAAGCAUUCCAGAAUUCUGCCCAUUACUUGAAGUGGACUCUCAACAAGGCCUUGAUCAAUUGCAGCAAGACACCUUACUCUUACACUCCAACCCACUCGCUAAUAGAGUAUUUGCAUCUUAAUUUUGUGUUUUAUGUGCAAAUUCCUCUGACGAUCAAUAUAUAUUUUCUUUAAAUCUGUUUCCAUCCGAAUGAGCAACCACUUCAUGCGACUGUCCCACCUUUGCUUUGUAAUCACACACAUUUUUCUUUUUCAGACAGCAGUCUAAUGUCUUUUUGAAUGUUCUAAUUGAACCUGAUUCUUCAUGUCAAAAUAUGUAAUUAAAUCUUUUCCGAUAUUGUACUCUAUCUAUCGCCUUCUUACCUUUACUUAACCUAUGUUCCUUUGCAGACUCUUUUGUAUUCAUAUCACAGCUCACUAGCCCAUUGAACUUUAUACCAUCAGCAGACUUAGAUGAAGGAUCUGAGUAUAAUGGAUCCAAGUCAUUAUUAUUGAUUGUUGGAUAGUUUUAAUCUGUAGUCAUAGCUUAAUUAAGAAGAGCCAUUUCUGUUCCCAAUGAUGGCCUGUACAUAGCUGGCCUUGUCUACCAUCACAAAACAGGCAUAAUACACAGUUGUUGAUUACGGAGUCCAACAAAGUCCAUUGUGAAAUUGCUCAAUGCUUUUCAAAGCAAUCUCAUGUAAUGAAGCUUGCACUACACGAAAAAAUUAAUAUGGGUUCAUGUGAAAUGAACACUUCAUAACUUAUUCACUUGAAACCUUAUUUCCCUUAAUGCUGGUUGACUUUACCCUCAUUUUUAUAGCUAUCUCUUUUGUUUUACAAAAUCCAAAAUUUAGAAGGCUGGCAUAAAUGUGGUUGCAUUCUCUUAAACUUUUUCUCCAACCACCCCUUCAGAUACUUUUGUCAAGAUUAUAGUGCCAGGCACAACAGAGGCUUCAGUUUGGGCGAACGAUAUUUAUUAAUGGAUCAUCUCAGAAAAUCCAAUAAGGUUAGCCUGACGGUGAGAACUAAAUUCCAAAAUAUAUUGAGCUGUUUUAGGCCUUCUCCCAUAAAAUUCACCCGAGUGUUAUUUUGCCCAAAUACCUUGCUACUGAUUUUACAGAAAUGUUGGUUUCAGAAAAACAUUGA